GAAUUGAGAUGCAUUAUCAGCCACUCAUUUUUAUUAAAUGAGUGGUCCAGAAUUUGCCACAUAGAAAAUAUUUUUAGAUUAAUUAAUUAUAAAAGGGCAGAAUGAUAAUUUCAUAUUUAAUUAGGGUUCUUCAGCUUGUGUUUGGCUAUUUGGGCGAUUUCUGUGAGAUUUCUCUCGGAUUAUGCUCCAGCCCGGCGGCGCGAUGGCGACCACAGCGCAGUGGCCGACGACGAUGACGUCACCUCCUCGAGCCUCUCCGCGCUCUUCUCGGCUGCGACGUUGUCCAAUCGGCGGUGGAGGACUGCGACGGUGCCGAUGCGGAGCUUGAUCAGGAAAUAUGCGAUUCGAUCUCAGAGAGCGUGGAUCUGAUUGGGAGGAUCAUGGAAAACGAGACGGAUUUGUUUCGGAAUAAGCUUAGGGUUCAGGUUGGGAGAGCGGCGGAGAUAUUCGGAUGCCUGAGAUUGAACAAGCUGAUGAUGCGGCGGAACGUGAUGGCUUAUUUGAGGAACUGCGGCUACAAUGCGGCGGUUUGCAAGACAAAUUGGCCGAGCUCCGGCAGUCUCAGCGGCGGAAGCUACGAGUUCAUCGACGUCGAUUCGUCGGCGUGCAUCCGUGGAUCGUAAACGAAGGAGAGAUGUGAGAUUUGAGUUGUACAUAGAGACGGUGGUCGCAGAAACAGAUGAAUAAUGUAGUAGAUGAAUCCCUCACCCUUUUUCUUUAGAUGAAAAUGAUAGAGCACCUCUUUGUUUUGGAGGAGUAGUGGCUUUCGAUCAUCUUUUGUGUUUUGGUGAGAGAUUUGUGCCAAAUUAUGAAUAAAGUUUGCACAUUUAUCUGAUUUAGGUGUUGAGUGUAUUGUUUUUGUAAUGUGAAGGAGGUAAUGUUCAAUACUCAUGGAUUGGAGAAUCAAGCUUAAUCAUAAUGCACUCUAG